UACGAAGGGUGCAAACGUUGCUCGGAAUCAUUGGGCGUAAAGCGCACGUAGGCGGCCUCAUAAGUCGGAUGUGAAAUCCCUCGGCUCAACCGAGGACGUGCAUACGAAACUGCGAGGCUCGAGUAUGGAAGAGGGUCGCGGAAUUCCCGGUGUAGAGGUGAAAUUCGUAGAUAUCGGGAGGAACACCAGUGGCGAAGGCGGCGACCUGGGCCAAUACUGACGCUGAGGUGCGAAAGCGUGGGGAGCAAACAGG
rnacentral:rRNA from 1 species